AGUAUGUACAGCAGUAAAAACAGAAGUUUCAGUGUAAAAACAGCUUCUAUAAAUCAAAGUGGCAGAAUUUAGUGUGACUUCCAUCUGUUCUUAUUAUGGCUUUAACCCUUUUGUUCUGACAUUAUGAGAUUAAUUUCAUCAAUUGUAUUAUGUUUUAUACCAGGUUUCAUUCAACAUACUGUAUAUCAGAUGUUUCAAAUGUUGCUUGUUAUCAUGUGGUCAGGGGCCACAAUAAAUAGUGACUUUAGCCUUUAGAACACAUUUAGUUCUGUUUUUUUUUAACUGAAGAAAAGAGAAUGAC